rnacentral:tRNA from 1 species
GAGCCGGUAGCUCAGUAGGUAGAGCAACGGCCUUUUAAGCCGUAGGUCGCGGGUUCGAGCCCCGCCCGGCUCACCA